ACUUCACCACGAAGGGAAUCCUCCAGGAGGCGUGCGUUCGCAACGAGUACUGGCGCUUGAUUGACGAUCGUGGGCGACCGCCGGGAAUGUGCGGCAUGUGGCCGUCGCGCGCGGUG
rnacentral:ribozyme from 1 species